rnacentral:rRNA from 1 species
AUGCAAGUCGAGCGGGGAAGUAUAGCUUGCUAUACGACCUAGCGGCGGACGGGUGAGUAAUGCUUAGGAAUCUGCCUAUUAGUGGGGGACAACAUUCCGAAAGGAAUGCUAAUACCGCAUACGCCCUACGGGGGAAAGCAGGGGAUCUUCGGACCUUGCGCUAAUAGAUGAGCCUAAGUCAGAUUAGCUAGUUGGUGGGGUAAAGGCCUACCAAGGCGACGAUCUGUAGCGGGUCUGAGAGGAUGAUCCGCCACACUGGGACUGAGACACGGCCCAGACUCCUACGGGAGGCAGCAGUGGGGAAUAUUGGACAAUGGGCGAAAGCCUGAUCCAGCCAUGCCGCGUGUGUGAAGAAGGCCUUUUGGUUGUAAAGCACUUUAAGCGAGGAGGAGGCUACCGAGAUUAAUACCCUUGGAUAGUGGACGUUACUCGCAGAAUAAGCACCGGCUAACUCUGUGCCAGCAGCCGCGGUAAUACAGAGGGUGCGAGCGUUAAUCGGAUUUACUGGGCGUAAAGCGUGCGUAGGCGGCUUUUUAAGUCGGAUGUGAAAUCCCUGAGCUUAACUUAGGAAUUGCAUUCGAUACUGGGAAGCUAGAGUAUGGGAGAGGAUGGUAGAAUUCCAGGUGUAGCGGUGAAAUGCGUAGAGAUCUGGAGGAAUACCGAUGGCGAAGGCAGCCAUCUGGCCUAAUACUGACGCUGAGGUACGAAAGCAUGGGGAGCAAACAGGAUUAGAUACCCUGGUAGUCCAUGCCGUAAACGAUGUCUACUAGCCGUUGGGGCCUUUGAGGCUUUAGUGG